GAUGAACGCUAGCGGCAGGCUUAAUACAUGCAAGUCGUGGGGCAGCGCAGUGUAGCAAUACAUGGGCGGCGACCGGCAAACGGGUGCGGAACACGUACGCAACCUUCCUUUAACUGGAGGAUAGCCCCUCGAAAGAGGGAUUAAUACUCCGUAACAUAUACAUGUGGCAUCACAAGUAUAUUAUAGCUCCGGCGGUUAAAGAUGGGCGUGCGCCUGAUUAGAUAGNGGCGGGGUAACGGCCCACCAAGUCUGCGAUCAGUAACUGGUGUGAGAGCACGACCAGUCACACGGGCACUGAGACACGGGCCCGACUCCUACGGGAGGCAGCAGUAAGGAAUAUUGGUCAAUGGACGCAAGUCUGAACCAGCCAUGCCGCGUGGAGGAUUAAGGCCCUC
rnacentral:rRNA from 1 species